rnacentral:lncRNA from 1 species
CCCUCAUUCUACAGUGUCCGAAAGAUUCGAAACUCCGCACGCUCUGCUGAGUGCCUGCGGGAUGGGAGGGGGCGCCAGGGAAGGAGUGCGCGAGGAGGAGCGUUGCAAAUGUCGUGACAAGAAGUUUCCGUGCGCCCGAGAGCGUGUGAAUUGCUCCUAAUUACCGUGUCCGGUGCGCCUCUCCGCGUAGACGUGUGUAACCCCUCUACUCCUGGGGCUCCGGCUCCACUGAGCCACUCUCCCUUGGCCCGGGGCGCUUGGCAAGGCCUAGCUUCCCAAGUGGCCCCGGAGGCCUGGGGCGGGACAGGAGCAGGUGACAAUUCAAUUACCGCUGUCGAAGUGGGAGUGGAACCCGGGUGCCGGGGUGGGGGAGGGAGGGCGUUCACCGCAGACUUGCCAAGAUGGUUUUUGCUGGCUUCCUUCUGACCGUGACCGUGUGCUUCCACGUCCGACGGGCUCCGAGGUAGUUGAGAGCCGGUUUGCUCCCUUCCCCCGCCCUCUAUCACCUUUAAUGCUUAGUUUCUUCGUUUGCAAAGUCCUGACACCGUGGGCGUCACGGAGUGGUAAGUGCGAUUUGUAAGGAUUUGUGUUUUCAAGCUAGGAGCCCCGGGAGGAACGUGGGUCCAAGCGCUGCAGCUUCUCCUCUCCCUGCGCCCCUGCCCUUUCCCUCGGCCCCCUGUGCCCUCCUUGCCUUUCCGAAUUUCUUUGCAUCUUGCUGCCCUUUUUUGUGGAAUUCUUUUUGUGGCUGUUUGAAAUUAACAAAGUUUACUUGUAACUUUUUUUUUUUAAAGCCAAAGUAAAAAGCCGCCUUUGCGACUCCCCAGAUCCUCUGGAGGCUGGAGGAACCGGCCAGACGGUCAGACCCAUCAGCCCACAAGACUUCCGCAGGGGGCGAGGGCACUGGACCUGCUUUGACUUGGCCUUCCUCGACCCGUGCUGACGUCACGGCCCGAGAACCCCCUUGGGUCUGCGGAGGAGGUAACAAGUUCGAAUUUUGUAUCUCUUCCUAGUUAUUCCCAUCUGUUACUGAUGUUUAAAUCCUUGGACUGUGUCACCCUCCAGCUCGGACUUUUCCUUUGCCUUUGAGGCUAACAUUCUGUUACUCUCAUUUUUGCUUUCUACUUUUCUCCUUCAGAGUAAAGAAAAUUCGUUUAAAUGAAAUGCGAAA